UAGUGAUAUAAAGGGGAGUAGCUAUUAUUAUUAUGUCGUCAUUCCGAGAGAAAUCUCCGGCAUAAUAGGCAACGGGCGUUGUAAGCAAGACCUUUACCAACUGC
rnacentral:misc_RNA from 1 species